AUCGGGAAAUCGAGAAAUAGGGAAAUCGAGAAAUAGGGAAAUCGGGAAAUCGAGAAAUCGAGAAAGCAAAAACGCGAAAACACGAAAGCGAAAACGUGAAAACGCGAAAUGAAUUUCUCUUUUUCGCGUUUUUGCUUUCUCGAUUUCCCGAUUUCCCAAUUUCUCGACUUCUCGAUUUCUCGAUUUCCCGAUU
rnacentral:sRNA from 1 species